GGAGUGGUAGCUCAGUGGUUAAGACGUUGAAAUUUUGAUUGAAAGGUUGUGAGUUCAAAUCCCAACACUGCCA